rnacentral:lncRNA from 1 species
CAACAUCCACUUUUUCUAUUCCCUAUUAAUCUCUCAUCCCUCGAGAUCCGUGCACUUUAACCCCACAUCAUUAUCCCCCUCAGAGAAACACAAAACACUUUCGUCUCUCUCUCACUUUCCCUUUCUCUUUCUUAUUUAGAUCUUGUCUCAUAAUAAACGCUUUUGUUUUGUCUCUAGAACUUGUCCCCGAUUGAAAAUUCUCUGUUGCGUCUAGAUCUUGUCCCCGAUUUCAUCAGCUUGCUCUAUUAUCAUGAAUCCCAGAUGAUAUGGUUUUACCAGCCUGCAGAGAUCUGGAUUUACUCGGGGACAACAUCUCUUAAUUAUC